rnacentral:misc_RNA from 1 species
GAUGAAGAACGUAGUGAAAUGCGAUACGUAAUGUGAAUUGCAGAAUUCAGUGAAUCAUCGAGUCUUUGAACGCACAUUGCGCCCCCUGGUAUUCCGGGGGGCAUGCCUGUCCGAGCGUCAUUGCUGCCCUCAAGCACGGCUUGUGUGUUGGGCCUCCGUCCUCCUCCCGGGGGACGGGCCCGAAAGGCAGCGGCGGCACCGCGUCCGGUCCUCGAGCGUAUGGGGCUUCGUCACCCGCUCUUGUAGGCCCGGCCGGCGCUUGCCGACACAUCAAUCUUUUUUCCAGGUUGACCUCGGAUCAGGUAGGGAUAUCCGCUGAACUUAAGCAUAUCAAUAAGCGGAGGA